CUAAAGCUACAGGACGGGACAAAAUGACACAUUUUGUAUGGGUUAUAGAGGAAAAAGCACCAUUUUGUAAUUAGAAACUAAACAAAAUGAUAGAAUUGUUAAAUACUUCAGGAAAAGAUAGCUUUCAGACACUGCUUUGAGAAUAUCAAAAGAAAAGAUAGGGUCAUCGUACGUUUUUUCCGGCUAAAAUACAAAAUAGGAAAAUUCCAUGUAGAAUCCUUCAGAAACUGUACUAUUUUAGAGUUACCUCCCCUUAAAAUGCCAAUUUUAAAAAAAAAAUAAAAACAACC
rnacentral:lncRNA from 1 species